rnacentral:tRNA from 1 species
GCAGCCGUGGUCUAAUGGCAUGAUUGGGCCUUCCCAAGGCUCUGACCCGGGUUCGAUUCCCGGCGGCUGCA